rnacentral:rRNA from 1 species
UGAUCCUGGCUCAGGAUGAACGCUGGCGGCGUGCUUAACACAUGCAAGUCGAACGAUGAUCUCCAGCUUGCUGGGGGGAUUAGUGGCGAACGGGUGAGUAACACGUGAGUAACCUGCCCUUGACUUUGGGAUAAGCCUGGGAAACUGGGUCUAAUACCGGAUAUGACCAUNUGGCGCAUGUCAUGGUGGUGGAAAGCUUUUGUGGUUUUGGAUGGACUCGCGGCCUAUCAGCUUGUUGGUGGGGUAAUGGCCUACCAAGGCGACGACGGGUAGCCGGCCUGAGAGGGUGACCGGCCACACUGGGACUGAGACACGGCCCAGACUCCUACGGGAGGCAGCAGUGGGGAAUAUUGCACAAUGGGCGCAAGCCUGAUGCAGCGACGCCGCGUGAGGGAUGACGGCCUUCGGGUUGUAAACCUCUUUCAGUAGGGAAGAAGCCUUUCGGGGUGACGGUACUUGCAGAAGAAGCGCCGGCUAACUACGUGCCAGCAGCCGCGGUAAUACGUAGGGCGCAAGCGUUAUCCGGAAUUAUUGGGCGUAAAGAGCUCGUAGGCGGUUUGUCGCGUCUGCUGUGAAAGACCGGGGCUCAACUCCGGUUCUGCAGUGGGUACGGGCAGACUAGAGUGCAGUAGGGGAGACUGGAAUUCCUGGUGUAGCGGUGAAAUGCGCAGAUAUCAGGAGGAACACCGAUGGCGAAGGCAGGUCUCUGGGCUGUAACUGACGCUGAGGAGCGAAAGCAUGGGGAGCGAACAGGAUUAGAUACCCUGGUAGUCCAUGCCGUAAACGUUGGGCACUAGGUGUGGGGGACAUUCCACGUUUUCCGCGCCGUAGCUAACGCAUUAAGUGCCCCGCCUGGGGAGUACGGCCGCAAGGCUAAAACUCAAAGGAAUUGACGGGGGCCCGCACAAGCGGCGGAGCAUGCGGAUUAAUUCGAUGCAACGCGAAGAACCUUACCAAGGCUUGACAUGGACCGGAAAGACCUGGAGACAGGUGCCCCGCUUGCGNCCGGUUUACAGGUGGUGCAUGGUUGUCGUCAGCUCGUGUCGUGAGAUGUUGGGUUAAGUCCCGCAACGAGCGCAACCCUCGUUCUAUGUUUCCAGCGGUUCGGCCGGGGACUCAUAGGAGACUGCCGGGGUCAACUCGGAGGAAGGUGGGGACGACGUCAAAUCAUCAUGCCCCUUAUGUCUUGGGCUUCACGCAUGCUACAAUGGCCGGUACAAAGGGUUGCGAUACUGUGAGGUGGAGCUAAUCCCNNAAAACCGGUCUCAGNUCGGANUGGGGUCUNCAACUCGACCCCAUGAAGUCGGAGUCGCUAGUAAUCGCAGAUCAGC